AUACGGAGGAUCCGAGCGUUAUCCGGAUUUAUUGGGUUUAAAGGGUGCGCAGGCGGGAGAUUAAGUCGGCGGUGAAAUUUUACAGCUCAACUGUAAAAGGGCCUUCGAUACUGGUUUCCUUGAGUGUGGAUGAAGGAGGCGGAAUUUGUGGUGUAGCGGUGAAAUGCUUAAAUAUCACGAGGAACUCCGAUUGCGCAGGCAGCUUACUAAACCACUACUGACGCUCAGGCACGAAGGCGUGGGGAUCAAACAGGAUUAGAUACCCUGGUAGUCCACGCAGUAAACGAUGAUUACUGGCUGUUUGCGAUACAAUGUAAGCGGCUGAGCGAAAGCGUUAAGUAAUCCACCUGGGGAGUACGUUCGCAAGAAUGAAACUCAAAUGAAUUGACGGU
rnacentral:rRNA from 1 species